UGGGGAAUUUUGGACAAUGGGCGCAAGCCUGAUCUAGCCAUGCCGCGUGCGGGAAGAAGGCCUUCGGGUUGUAAACCGCUUUUGUCAGGGAAGAAAAGGCUCUGGCUAAUACCUGGGACUCAUGACGGUACCUGAAGAAUAAGCACCGGCUAACUACGUGCCAGCAGCCGCGGUAAUACGUAGGGUGCAAGCGUUAAUCGGAAUUACUGGGCGUAAAGCGUGCGCAGGCGGUUAUGCAAGACAGAGGUGAAAUCCCCGGGCUCGACCUGAGAACUGCCUUUGUGACUGCAUGGCUAGAGUGCGGUAGGGGGGGAUGGAAUUCCGCGUGUAGCAGUGAAAUGCGUAGAUAUGCGGAAGAACACCGAUGGCGAAGGCAAUCCCCUGGACCUGUACUGACGCUCAUGCACGAAAGCGUGGGGAGCAAACAGG
rnacentral:rRNA from 1 species